rnacentral:rRNA from 1 species
UACGUAGGUGGCAAGCGUUGUCCGGAUUUACUGGGCGUAAAGGGCGUGCAGGCGGUCUGUUAAGUCUAGGGUGAAAGCUCCCGGCUCAACUGGGAGAGGUCCUUGGAUACUGGCAGACUUGAGGAGAGUAGAGGAGAGUGGAAUUCCCGGUGUAGUGGUGAUAUGCGUAGAUAUCGGGAGGAACACCAGUGGCGAAGGCGGCUCUCUGGGCUCUACCUGACGCUGAGACGCGAAAGCUAGGGGAGCAAACGGG